UGAGGCCACCUGAGCAGGGGCGAAGGAAAAGGUGCCGUUACCCUGAAAAUAAUCGUCAUAGGAAGCUCCGAGUGUCUUCCUUAAGUUUAUGAAACACUUUCACUGAGCCUAGUGUACUGUAAAACUGAGGUGUAAAUCCGAAAGGACAGUAUUAGAAGUAAACGUUUUGUAUUUAGCGGCGCUGUGAGACAGAGGGAGAAUUGUCAAGACAGAUUUAAGCGGAGAGAGAUUUGAGUGUGUUGUGCCUUUAUCUUGUACCUGCUGUGCUUGUGUUUACUCGGGUUGUGAAUCACCGCUUCACCAGCAUGUCCCGGGCCACGAUAGGGACGGACUUCCUCUCUAAUAUUGUCAUCAUAGAUGGGGGCACAGUCACCUUGCAGGACACAGCAGAUACAGAGAGGUUCCAGUCUCUGGGGACCCCACUGCUGCAUGAUGGUGUUUGAUGUCACAUCCAGGCCCAGUUUCUUGACCCCGAAGGAGCGGAGGAAGGAGUUCUAGAGUGAGCUCCGGGAUGCAGCGGACUUCCCUUUUAUUGUACUGGGCAACAAGACUGACCUGAGCAACCAAGAGGUGUUUGGCAGGAUGGCCCUGCAGUGGUGUGAGGAAAUAGGAGCUGACUACUUUGAAGGAAGUGCCAAAAAAUGACCUAGACGCAGUUCUUGAGCACGGCUCAGUGCAGGCUUACAGCAGUACAAAAAACACACAUUGGAAAAUACAGGACAUUUCCAGAUAACCUGCAAACAGCCGGGAGAAACUUGCAACACCUGUGAGUGCUGAGAGCAGCACUCGUCCCAGCGUGGGAGGGAAAGUUCAGAGACCUCGGCACUGCUGAUGAUGACCUAUCUAACGAGGGUGCAAAAAUAGUGACCCAGCAAAGGUACUGUGGAAGGAAAGGACACAAUUGUAUACCACAUGGAGAGGAACAAACUCAUUAAAUGUCUUUUUUUUUUUUUUGAGAACCUUCAGCUUAUGGUCUAACUUAAGGCAUCACUACUAAAAUACACUGCUUUUGCAUGCAUGUCUAGUUUUGUUCAACAGACACACUGACACGCACAAAAUUAUGAAUGCAUAUGAAGAGAAACUUCAUUUCUAGAAAGAAACAGGAGAAACCACAAAUGGAAACCAAGGUGAGAGCCAGAGAAAAGGCGGCAUGGGGAAACCUUGGUUCCAGUCUUCCUUCCUGGCCGUUACCAUCACAACUGAAUCUGCCCUUACAAAGUAGAUAUACACCCAUGUCCAGUCAGAAACCUCCUCCCUGUACAAGUCUGUAUUGAAAUGAACCUAGCAGUGAUUCAGACUCCUACAGUGAAUCAGCUUGACAGAAGCAAAUCAGAACAAUCAGGGAGACUAUAUGUAUUUAUAUAUAUAUAUUUUUCUUUUAUAAGUAAAGACACAAAAGGCAAUCAAGAGAUGACCAACAUGUAAAAAGUUUGUUACAGGUAAUUAUAUAAAAGGCCAAGAUGUUUUUUGUUUGUUUUAUUUUUGCUCUAUGAAUGAACUAAUUUACAUGUGAGUACACUCCGGCUAUGUCAACUUUCUUCCCAAGACAUCCUCAUUCAAAGACAUAUGGGUUUUACAGGUCACAGUUAGCUCGCACACCAUCUGUAAUCGCAAAUACAGAGCCGUGGAAAGAAAAAUUAAAAUUUAUUAAAUGGGUUCACAUACAGCAAUAGAAUAGGGAAAAUAGGUCUACUAAUAUUUGCCAUUCUAAAAAUUAAAGAAUAGAUGAGACACCACAUUCAUGGGCAUAACAAGCGCAAGACAACUGAUCAGGAUAUUGAGGGGUAUCAAAUGAGCUGAUGUUAUUUUCUGCAUUCCAUGUAUGGCAAACAAAACAACACAGGCAUUGAAUAGUAAACAAAGUAAAAAACUCUCCCUGGGUCCACUUCAAAGUUCCUCAGUCCUUUAACCUCUGCUGUUCUAAGUGGAACAAAUACAAAAGCCUCUUCUCUUUAACUGCCAUCUUAACAAGAACAUAUGGCCAACUGAAUGAAGCUUGUUAAAAAUAUUGUGGAAACCUCAACACAGCCACUCAUCUUCCCAUGAACACAAACUAUGGGGAUGAACAACAGUUUAAAAAAAGUGAUGCUUUUAAAAAUGCACACAACAUACACAUCCACACAGGAGGGGACAAAAGCUUAAAAAAUACAAAAAUAAACUACACAAAAGAUCUUCUGCGACAUUUCUUGCUAAUUUUUUGGGAAGAUUUUGCAAGUUUUUUGUGUGUGCUGCAAGUCUCAGUCCUAGCAAAGUCUGUCGUUCACUCUCUACAAAUCUUGUCUUCUGUCACUCUUUGUCCACUUCAAAGCGUCAGCCACUAGUCCUUACCUUGGGGUAAAAGCGCACAGUGAUGAUAUUACCAGGAGACGGAGUCCAGUACGAUGACUGUACAGACUUGGUUCUUGAUGAAGCAAAUUUAUUUUGAGCAAAAAUCAAAGGGGAAAAAAUGUCCUCUUUCUUUUUCUCUUUUUUUUGAGGACAAGUGCUUUAUUUGUUUCCAUACCGAUUUUUCCUCUCAUCUAUACUAAUACCUCCACAGCCUUUUUCCAGCACUGUACAUCAUUUCAUGUAGUCUCUCUCUACAUCCCCCAGGAGUCACAAAAUAAAGACACACACACAAAAAAGGGUAACAUUGCGCUCAGGCUGGCUCCCAGUUUGUGAAAAAUGCAAAUGCUUCUCUAUACUGCUCAACUGCUGAAACAAGCCAAAAAAAAAA